GAGAAAAGAAGAAAACACGAAGAUAAGAAAAAAUGGAUGAGGAGGAAAAGAAAACUCUAAUUAAACUAAUUAAAUACAUACGUAGACAUUGACUAUUCGGCACCCGAUACCAAUUCACUUAACCCCGUUAAAGAGAAAAAGAAAAACACAACACAACACACACACACGAGCGCGCGCGAUAGUUUCGGAGGUUUUUGGCUGCGAAAACCAAAACCACUAACACAGUGACACAAUACCCCACAUAACACACUCACAAACACACAACAUAAACAAAUACACACACACACACAGAAAAGAAAGUAAACCUUCCACACGAACGACACCAGAGUGUACUAGUGUACUUGUACUAUCACUACUACUACCACUACUACUACCACUACUACUACCACUACUAUUACUACUACUACUACUACUACUACCACUACUACUAUUACUUGCUUCGGUUGUUUCGGCCUUCAAGAGUUGGGGGUGUUUUGCGAAAAGUGAAUUCGCAUGCCCGCGCGCCAUUAUACUUCAUUACUUGCUCUUGAAAAUUGCGUAGAUGAUAAAACCAACAAGCAAACAACCCAAACAUACACACACACACAGUACACAACACAACUCACACACACACACACACGAUACACAACAACAAAAAAGUACACGCUGAAACAACCACACAACCACAACAAAAACCCCGUGCAAAACGAAGAAACCGCGCAAGCAAAACAAACAAACAAAAAGUACACAUUUAUACACACAUUAGUAAGAGAAACUCGUUGUAACCAAACGUAUUGCAAACGUAACACAAACAAAGCAAAGCAACAAAAAAACGGUAAAGAAAAUGCAAACCGUUAACUGCAGAAACAACAAAAAAAAAAACAAAACCAAACCAAACUGUCAGAUUGAUUGGAAAAAAAGGAAAAUAGAUUGUUUUUUUCAUACUAAAGCUAAUUUCGUUGUUCGUUGUUUUGUUGUUUUUUUUUUUUCUUCACUUUUGUUCUCAUCAUCUGAAACGGAAUCAAACCGCCUCCACCCUCAAACCAAAGCAUAUGCACAGUAGGAGCUGAUUGUGGAUCAUUUUACAAUUCCCACUUUCCCACGUUUGACGCGCUAGUUGUCAAGCUAAUACAUAGUAGUAGCAGUAGUAAUAGUAGGCUGAUAUAUCACCAUAGAACGGGAAGUGCACGGCCAUUUUGCACGCUCUCUUUAUCCCUUCUCUUUCCGCUCUUUCUCUCGCUCCACAUCGUCGGAGCAGUCAAUCGUCGUCCUUGGUAACCAACGUAACCUUCGCUCAGUUUACAACCGACUUCUGCUGAAGCCUGGUUAAACGUUCCAGGACACUGCCACUGUGGCAAAACAGCAGCAAAACACACACACACACACACACACACACACACACACACACACACACACACACACACACACACACACACACACACACACCAAAACACAAACACUUACUGCACAGUUUCCCGUUUUCCCGUUUGUUUCUCGAUCAUAUUACACACUUCAUCAUUCAUAAAAGUAAACCAACCAUUAGGCAAAACCACGGCACAGAGAACGAGAGAGAGAGAGAGAGACGAUGUAAAAGUUACGCUAGGGAACUUCCACAGCUACACGAGAGCGGCGUUCCGACCGAAGAUACGAAAACAACGGGGAACGUGUGUCACAAAAUGCUAAACAGUAAGAAACAAAACCAAAGCACAUACGAAAAUGGGGGUGAAAAAAACUAGAUCAGCAUAACUAGGCAAGAUAGAACCAAAACAUUGAAUAGAAUGCAUCGAUACAAGCGUAAAAGGAGCAGUUAAAUUACGCUCCAAAUCAAAACAUACGCCACCACACACAUACGUUGUUGCACUUAUUCAAUGCCGCCGGGUAGAGCAUAGAACGAGCAAACGAAUUCACUUUGCUCGCCGGGACGAGUAUUUAAAAUUCUAAAUUUAUAUAAUAGCAGCAAAACAAAAAGCAGAAGCAACAAAGUAUGCAACAUUGAUGGAAGAAACAGAGAUGGAAAGUGAGAAAGAGAGGAAAAAGUACACUAAAUUAAGCAAACACUACCAGUUACUAAUUCUCAGUAGGAACAAACCAAAACUGUUGGUCGUGUUUUUAUCUUAUAAAAGUAAACAUUCGCUUACUGGCAAUACUUGCAAUUAUCCGCUUGACGGUUCACAACCAAUCCGCUUAUUGUUGAGCACCCUGUUUUUUUGUUUUGUUUCAACUUUCAACUUUCUUUAAUCCCCAUUUGCGCUGAUGGUUCUUUUUACUAUCGGUUCUAUUUCCAACACGACGUUUUAUAUCAAUUUUAGAACAUUUACUAAGGACACUUUCCCUUUUACGUUCCAGUGCAACGCUUCUAUGUAGAUGAAAAUGACUUAUAUAAAUGUUACACAAACACACCCAACACUUAGAAGAAUGACCAUACAUAGUAGGGUAAUGAUCCAUUUAAUGAACAGAAAAAAAGUGAACAACAAAUGAAAACAACAAAAGAAACAAACAAAAACUAUUUAAGAAGAAAAAAAAGAGGAAAUAAAUAGAAUAAUGUAUUCAACAGCAAAAAGACAAAAACAAAGCAAAAGAGAAUUAUGAAAUUACACCUAGAUGCUGCUAGAUAUAUCUGUAGAAGAAUGUGUCUUUUCCAACGGCGGAACAGGGGCGGUAGGAAGCGGAAUUCCGUAGUAGUAAGUAGUAAGUUUAGUUUUGUCCUGCCGCUGCCCUUCUCCGGAUCCUCCGGUUGCCGGAACCGUUCCGGUGGAACGAACUGCUCAAUUAUAUAAGCGAAUCUGUACACCGGGCGAUGCAUACGGAAUGCAAACCCGGCCUCUAUCGCGCAUACCGCGUACGACAAGUGGGUGUACAAAUGUAGUGAAAAUUUAAUACAAUCACACACACACACACACGCACAAUAUAAUACUGUUACAUAUGGUUUUGUAGGGAUAGAACAAAAACGUAUAUAACACAAUAUUUAGUAUGUUCCCAAUUUUACGGUAACCACACACACACACACACUAUAAUAUAUUUGUAAGCGGAAAAACGAUACACACACACACCCACACAUCCCUCUUAACACAUUAGUAUGAGCACACACACACACAUGAAACCGUGUAGGCCACAACUCUUUUCAUGUUUAGAGCAUUUUAAAAUACCUUAUACUGGCUAGCGAAGCAAAAAAGAAGAAAAGAAAAAUAACAGGAAAUUAAAAACUGUAAUAAUCAAAGUAAUAAACGGGAAAACUUUCGCCUAUCGGUAUCGGUAAAAGCGUGCACAAGCUCGUCCUUAUGAUGGCAGGGCGAAAGGACGAUGGCCAUUAUAUUAGGCAAGAUAUAAUCGAGGUGAAUCGAAAUGAGUAAACUAAAGAAAAACACACAAAAACGCAAAAAAGUUAAUAUAAAAAAAAACAUUCAACAGCAACAACAACAAAAAAAACACAGUAAAAAAUAACUUAUCACCAGCAAAAGCAAACAACGUGAGCGCACUUAUGAAAUUCGAAUUGUGCAUGUGUAGUAGUGCAAACAAUGGUGCCGAUCUAUUCGCCGAGCUCCCUUCCUUACUUGAGUGGGACAGGGCGCGUUCGGCCUUUGGACCAUUCACCAAAACGUUCCACAAACCAGCCUCCUAGUAGUUUAGUAUUGAUCGCUGCUCGCUACUACUAAUUCUACUACUACUACUACUACUACUACUACCACUACUACUGCUAACACCUGUUUGGGUGAGGCGGUCCCAACACACUUGAACGAUAUUGGUCAAAUAGAUCAUUUUGCGCAAAACCGCACACAUAUGAUGGGAUUCCAUCCUAUAAGAUGGCAACGUUCUUUGCUUAGAAUAGUGUUUCGUUCUUCCCAAAAGUCACAAUCGAAACUCUACCAAGUAACUCUACUCUUGCACCAACAUUGGCAGGAGUGUAUCGGGUAAAGAUGCAAAUCAAUCGCUUAGAAAAGCACUACAGAUGCAGAUUUAAAGGCACUUGAUUUUGUUUUUUCAUUCAUUCCACUUCCUUCACUCUCGCGUAAACAACAAGACUCAUGCUGCCCCCUAUCAACAUUCAUCCCGUUAAGCAAAAAUGCCCAACGCUUCCCAACACUUCCGUUUCCUUUCUACUCUCACUAACACCAGCUCCAAACCCCACCUCCCACAAACUAACUCCCUCGUUCCAGUAGAACACAAAAAUAGCUACCAAAUCAAAACAAGUAAGGCAAAACCCACAACAAUGUGAUUGAUCUCGGUGUGUGUGUGUAUAAGAAACUUUACCAAACACACUCUUACACACACACAAGGCAGUGAUUCUCGAAGUCGAACUCAGAAAAAAGAGAAAAAAAACGAAAAAAAAGUUAAAUGUUAUUUAGGGGACAAAAACGAGUUGCAUAAAAACCAAAAAUGAACAACUACACGAAAGAAAAACAAAAAGCAACAAAGCAAAUUGUAGUGAAAACUGAUCAAAGCAACAGAAAAAUGUGUAAGUAUGUGUUAAAUACUCGCUGUAUUCUAAUGUAUUAGUGAAACAAAGAGAAAAAAACAGAACAGAACAAAACAAAAAAGCAGUAAAAAAACAAACGUAUAUAAGUAGAGAUGCAAACAACAUCAGAAAGUUAAGUAGCACUGUUUUUUUCUUCUCUGAAUUAAAAGGCUUGCCGUGUACCGCAAGGGUGUGUAGCGAGCGUUAUUGAACAACAAUUCAGAGGAGAAAUAAUUAUAUACAUAUAAAACAGCAAAGUAUGAACACAGCAAAACCUAAUGUACGAGGAAAUAUUACAUAUAUAUAUACAAUUAUAUAUAUAUGAAACUGGAAACAGAAAAUGAGGAGAUAAAAAAACACAAGAAAAAUUCUAAAUAAAUAUAAAUUUUUUAUAUAGGAAUGUAAUAUCUUAAACAAACAAACAAAAAAAAGCACACAGGUGAAAGGAAAUGGAGGUAGCUGAUGACCGCAGCAGCAUUGAUUCAGUUUGCGCACAGAGCUGUGAACAUAUGUGGAACAGAGAAAGAAGAUAACGGAGCAAAACUCUAGAAAACUAGACAAACAAAAAAUAACUGGCGAACUGGAGUGGCGAAACAAACUAAGAUAAAUCGUUACACAAACAGAACAAUACACUACACAGGCAUACAUCCAUACAAAACAGAAAAAAAGCGUUCACAAGAACGUCGAAAACAAUAGUUUGUAAAUAGACACAAACCUGUUUUAGGUUGUUUGUUAUUUUCGAAAAUCGGUAAAAAGGACAUACAAAAAAGCCACACAAACACGCAUCCUUUUCUGUCACCUGUGAGAGCCCGAGCCGACUAAGCGGGGUCAUAAGGGUAAAGGGUAAUGAUACCCCCUCUUGCUGGGUUUUAAUUUCUCAUAGCAAAGUUACGCUCAAUGACCGAGUAUAGACCCGAGUUCUACUCGCGAAGAUUAUAAUCAAGCAUCAAGUAGGUGAGGAAAACACAGCGAUAGAGACGAUAAAAACAGAUAAAAAAUCAAAUUGCAUACAUAUUCCAGUUUUUAUUACCAAACUCUUGCUAAACAGAAACACCCCCCGCCCCCUCUGCUCCUCUUCCCCAACAAACGUAAGUAGCGAAAAAAAAACACAAACAAAACUAUAAAUAUAUACAUAGAAAUACUAACUCAACACAACACAGUACGAAGCAAACCAGAACACGAGAAAAGGAAGGAAAGAAAGAAGGAACGAAAAAAAAACAACAACAACAUAAGCCUUAAGCUGGUAUUUUCCGUCGGUCCACCACCGUUACACAAAUGGUUAUAGCAAAACUUUUAUCCAAAAAAAACAAAAACCGGGCCAUAGCCAUCAAAAUGCCACUAGUUAAAAUAUAUUUAUAAAAUAAAAAUAACUACUUACGCGAUCGUACAGGCGAACACACACACAUACACGCACACACAGCAGAUCAGGAGCACCCCAGUAGGAUGGAUGAAGCGAGGAUGGAGAUGGAGAAAAAGGCUAGCGAAGCGUGCGCCACCAUUCCUUGCACAAACAAUGCACGUGGCUAGAGAAGAAAGAAAGAGAAGAGAAAACACGGUAAUUAAUAAGUUAUCUCAAGAGCGUCUGUGAAUUGUGAAAUUGCACGCGGGCAAUAUUGAAUCUAAACUAUAGCAGCAAGAAGCAACAAGGAACGAUGUGGAAAUCCCCCAGAAAGCAAUGUCCAAAACCGAGCAAAAGAGAGUCGAUCGUAGAGCGAACUGUAGCUGCAUGAUGAUGAUAGGCAGGCAAAAAAGAAAGGAAAAAUUGGAUUCAAAGUGGCAGGAACAUCGGUUCGAAACAAGCGUUCGCAACUACUAGAGCAAAGAGAAAGGAACAACCGAGAAAAAAAGAUGCGUGUAAUGCAUAAACUUAAGCUACAGCGGUAACAAAACGAAAACGAAAGCAAAAAAACAACAACAACACUAUAGCAAAAAUAAAUAAGAAAAAAAGAAACAAAAACAAACACAAAGCAUAUUUAUAUUGUUCCAGUGCAUUGGGUUUUGUUUUGAUAGUGAUAACAAACACAGAAGGCAAACAAGCAGUAACGAAACAAACAAACAAACA